AAGAUUUUAGCUUAAUUAAAGUUUCUGCUUUGCAUGCAGAGGAUGUGGGUUAAACUCCUGUAGGUCUUA
rnacentral:tRNA from 1 species